rnacentral:rRNA from 1 species
CGACGUGGGCGACCUGCCUCACACAGGGGGAUAACAGCCAGAAAUGGCUGCUAAUACCGCAUAAGCGCACAGUGCUGCAUGGCACAGUGUGAAAAACCGAGGUGGUGUGAGAUGGGCCCGCGUCUGAUUAGCUUGUUGGCGGGGUAACGGCCCACCAAGGCGACGAUCAGUAGCCGGCUUGAGAGAGUGGACGGCCACAUUGGAACUGAGACACGGUCCAAACUCCUACGGAAGGCAGCAG